GUGACGGUGGAGUAGAGUCUACACCCAGCUGUUCCAGUUUAAAAGCUACAGAUGAGACAUUUGGGCUUGAUCCAGAGCAGAGGCAAAUGGAUCAAACACGUCAAGCUCGUCGCCUGCAGAAACUUAAAGCCCAUCACAAUAAAUGUGAGGCUCAUCACAAGAAGCUCGUCACAAAGUUGCCUUUGCUUUGUUGCAUAAAGGCAACAAAUGAAGUGAGGGAGAACACGUCUUUUCUCCAUCAGAAGGGCUUAAUGUCAAAACAGUCAUCCGAUGAGAGCGACGAUACCAUCAUCCUUGGUCCAACACCAACUGAAGGGGACAU